rnacentral:lncRNA from 10 species
CUGCUAUCACCAAUAAUUAAACCAUAAAAAACCGAAAUUAUUUUUCCCUCUGGGGUGAUUACAACCACACGGGAGCUGUGAUGAGAGAUGAAAGAACUGACCCUCAAGGAGACCAAGGGAUAAUGACCAUGAUGAUCACAUGAUAGCCCAGUCAAACUGGCCACUUGGUUCUCAAACCCUGGCCUUUUAAGUCAAAAUUGUAUUACUACACUAAAUGUAAAAUGGCAUCUUACCAAAAUAAAUGGAAUCUUUGAAGAGA